UACGUAGGGUGCGAGCGUUAAUCGGAAUUACUGGGCGUAAAGCGUGCGCAGGCGGUUUUGUAAGACCGAGGUGAAAUCCCCGGGCUCAACCUGGGAACUGCCUUUGUGACUGCAAGGCUUGAGUGCGGCAGAGGGGGAUGGAAUUCUGCGUGUAGCAGUGAAAUGCGUAGAUAUGCGGAGGAACACCGGUGGCGAAGGCGGCCAUCUGGGAGGGUACUGACACUCAGACGCGAAAGCGUGGGGAGCAAACAGG
rnacentral:rRNA from 1 species